GGGCGGGUAGCGUAGUGGUCAGCGCGUUCUUGAGCGUAAAGUAUACUGCGUUGAUUUCUCUUGCGUUUAGCGAAAGACCCGGGUUCGACUCCCGGCUUGCCUA